UACGUAGGGGGCUAGCGUUGUCCGGAAUCAUUGGGCGUAAAGCGCGCGUAGGUGGCUUCGUAAGUCCGUUGUGAAAGUCAAAGGCUCAACCUUUGAAAGCCGAUGGAUACUGCGGAGCUAGAGUACGGAAGAGGCGAGUGGAAUUCCUGGUGUAGCGGUGGAAUGCGCAGAUAUCAGGAGGAACACCAAUAGCGAAGGCAGCUCGCUGGGACGUUACUGACACUGAGGCGCGAAAGCUAGGGUAGCGAACGGG
rnacentral:rRNA from 1 species